rnacentral:rRNA from 2 species
UACGUAGGGUGCGAGCGUUGUCCGGAUUUAUUGGGCGUAAAGAGCUUGUAGGCGGCUCGUCACGUCGGGUGUGAAAACUCGCGGCUCAACCGCGAGCCUGCACCCGAUACGGGCGGGCUAGAGUUCGGCAGGGGAGACUGGAAUUCCUGGUGUAGCGGUGGAAUGCGCAGAUAUCAGGAGGAACACCGGUGGCGAAGGCGGGUCUCUGGGCCGAUACUGACGCUGAGAAGCGAAAGCGUGGGGAGCGAACAGG